UGACGCGAGACACUACAGUAAGAUCUGAUGCUAGAGCACUUGCACGAGCCUACGCUAUUCGAGCACGUGAAGAAGCAUCAUCUCCAGAUAUUAUUACUAGUACUUUUACUAUCUAUGAUACUAAAGUUAUUGCAUUGAUAGAUCCAGGGUCUACUCAUUCGUAUAUACGCAUGAAUUUAGUAUCCAAUAAGAAUUUGCUUGUAGAGUCUACUGAAUUUGUAAUUAGAGUAUUGAACCCC
rnacentral:lncRNA from 1 species